rnacentral:rRNA from 1 species
AGAGUUUGAUCAUGGCUCAGAACGAACGCUGGCGGCAUGCCUAACACGUGCAAGUCGAACGCUUUUGGGGUUUCGGCCCCAAGGGAGUGGCGCACGGGUGAGUAGCGCGUGGGAACCUGCCCUGUUGUGGGGGAUAACCGAGGGAAACUUCGGCUAAUACCGCAUACGCCGGUUGUCUUGAGAGAGAUGGCCGGGAAAGAUUUAUCGCAGCAGGAGGGGCCCGCGUCGGAUUAGCUAGUUGGUAGGGUAACGGCCUACCAAGGCUCCGAUCCGUAGCUGGUCUGAGAGGAUGAUCAGCCACACUGGGACUGAGACACGGCCCAGACUCCUACGGGAGGCAGCAGUGGGGAAUAUUGGACAAUGGGCGCAAGCCUGAUCCAGCAAUGCCGCGUGAGUGAUGAAGGCCUUAGGGUUGUAAAGCUCUUUCGCCCGCGACGAUGAUGACGGUAGCGGGAGAAGAAGCCCCGGCUAACUUCGUGCCAGCAGCCGCGGUAAUACGAAGGGGGCGAGCGUUGUUCGGAUUUACUGGGCGUAAAGGGCGCGUAGGCGGCCCUCCUUGUCGCGUGUGAAAGCCCCGGGCUCAACCUGGGAAUUGCGCGCGAAACGGGGGGGCUUGAGUUCGGGAGAGGAGCGUGGAAUUCCCAGUGUAGAGGUGAAAUUCGUAGAUAUUGGGAAGAACACCGGUGGCGAAGCGGCGCUCUGGACCGAGACUGNNGCUGANNNGCGAAAGCGUGGGGAGCAAACAGGAUUAGAUACCCNNGUAGUCC